rnacentral:rRNA from 1 species
CUAAGCUUGACAUCCCUUGGACCGCUCCUUAAUCGGAGCUUUCCCUUCGGGGACUGAGGUGACAGGUGGUGCAUGGUUGUCGUCAGCUCGUGUCGUGAGAUGUUGGGUUAAGUCCCGCAACGAGCGCAACCCUUGCCUUUAGUUGCCAUCAUUAAGUUGGGCACUCUAGAGGGACUGCCGAGGAUAACUCGGAGGAAGGUGGGGAUGACGUCAAAUCAUCAUGCCCCUUAUGCUUAGGGCUACACACGUGCUACAAUGGCUAGUACAGAGGGCAGCGAAGCCGUGAGGUGGAGCCAAUCCCUUAAAGCUAGUCUCAGUUCGGAUUGUAGGCUGAAACUCGCCUACAUGAAGCUGGAGUUGCUAGUAAUCGCGGAUCAGAAUGCCGCGGUGAAUGCGUUCCC